CGGAGGCUGGAGGCUCCAGCACGGAAAGUGGGGACCCCUCUGCAUGCACGGAAGGGAAGAAAAACCCCCUCCCCACCUGUGGGCGCCUUCCAGGUGUGCUGCCCUUCAGGUUGGGGUUUGCAACAAACCAAAUGACAACAGCGACGGGCCCAAAGCAGAGGGAUGCACAACCAGCCAACGCCCAUGGCUGCCCCCAGGCCGGGCAGAGAGGCCAGCAGCCCUGGGCACAGAGCCUGGGCAUCCUGCGGAAGGGAAGCAGACCCAGGACACAGGCAGCGGCGAGCAGCGCUGUCAGAGGGAAGCAGGAGGAUUAAUCAGCGUGAUGCUCCCCACACUGAUUAAACAAUGAGGCGCCCUGGGGUUCUGCUGUCUGUCCCGAUGAGUGCUCAUCACCCUGAUGUGCAAACCCUGAACAGCUCCCUCGGGAGCAAACUACCUUUUAAUUUUUCUCUCUAAAGAUUAAUUCCAUUGUUACGGAACCUGUAUUAUAAGCACCGUAAACUAAUCAUUAGUCAUUUUCAAGCAAUCUGACCUUCCUUGCCACAAAUCGUGGAGUGUUUUCCAAGAGGUCUUUUUUGGGUUCUGGGGAUUUGCAUCAUGCAAGUUCAGAAAGAGUCGAAAAUAAACAAGAACAUUUGCCCCAGCGCCCCCAGCACCCGGACCUCUGAGGACAAAGGUCGAAAGGAUGGCAGAGCUCCAGCAUCAGCCAACCCCCCAAAGCCUCGUUGGUCUUUCUUUGCUCCCCAACCAAGUGUGACUCCUCCAUUUUGGAAGCACACGUCUUAGGGGACGUCACAUAUCUGGAGGACGGAGUCGGGGUGUGCGAGUGCUUUAGUUCCCCCGACUGUCUCUCCCCAGGAGCUGGAAACAUCUCCAGAGCUUAGGAUCUCCCACAGCACCAAGCACAGUGAGAUCUCGAAAGCUACUGCCUUCAUCCAACGAAAAUGACCCGUGCUCGGAGCUAGGUCUUUGAAAAUUCCUGUUCCCACUGUGGGGAGACGCAGCAGGAAAUCUGAUCUCUAAGCUACUGGCAUUUCUGAAAACUCUCACACCGGAAAACUCCUUCCACUCCCAUCGACGAAAGAGAUCACGGUCGUAUCAAGGAGAAUAACAUACUGGCCUCUGGUCAGCUACACACACACACACACACACCCCUUUUAACCUGCUCAGGGGUGUUGGGGGGAUUUCUGCUCAGAGUUUGGAGUCUGGCAUCUGAGGCCCCCUGUGCUCUGGCCUCAGCUGCUCUCGUCCACGU
rnacentral:lncRNA from 1 species